UGUUUACAGCUGGAGCGGGAGCUUUCAUUCGUGGGCUUCUGAGCUCACUUCCCCGCCGACAGGAAGCCCUGGCAGGACCCGGCUUCCCGCCACACCCCUGGUCUCGAGUGGGUCCAGAAGCGAGAGGCAAAAGGCAGGAGGCUGGGCUUUAAAGGGCUGAGCUGCAAAGCCUGCGAGGAGACUCAGCCCCAAGGCAGGAAGAAGCCAGGCACACAGGCAGACAGGAUAAUGGAACGUGAAUGAAUAUUUCACCUGCUGCUUCAGGAAAUGAGCCUCCAAAACUCUCCUUCCCUCUCUCCCAACCCUUGUACCAGUGUCAACUGUAGUCCUCACUGGUACAGAGGAUGGAAGGGUGGGCCUGCAGAGAUGAGACGCACCUAGUGCUACGCAAUCUCCCAGUCUGGAUGUCCUUUUUCAACCAAGGCAGAAGUGAUUUUAAGAACUCUCCUUCCCUUCAACGCAAGCAGAUAACACAUCCUUCUCUGUCAUAACCACAGUCUUGGAUUUUUACUCUCUAAGAGAUUGCCAGCUUGCCUUCAUUUAAAAUCUUCUAAAAUUAUGUGCUAAAUAAAAUCUUCUGAUCCAACACAA